UAGCUGGCAUGACGUAAUAAAUUGCUUCACCGAGAGCAGCUGGAUACGACCGCAGAGGUCCAACCCUGAACAGUUGGGGCAAAAAUGGACACAAUAUUCGCGCUUGAUACAGGUCUGAAUUUGGAUUGUAAUUAAAUAUUUGACACAUAAUAGGUUUCUGACACAGAAUAACCGUAGUCAAAGAACUUAGAAUUGGUUAUAUGAUUUGAAUUUAUAUUAAAUUUUUUGCUUUUGUGCAAUACACUGUGCCUGUGUGAAUUGACCCUCCC